CACGUAGGGGGCGAGCGUUGUCCGGAUUUAUUGGGCGUAAAGAGCUCGUAGGCGGUUUCGUAAGUCGGAUGUGAAAACUCCAGGCUCAACUUGGAGACGCCAUUCGAUACUGCGAUGACUUGAGUCCGGUAGGGGAGUGUGGAAUUCCUGGUGUAGCGGUGAAAUGCGCAGAUAUCAGGAGGAACACCGGUGGCGAAGGCGCACAUCUGGCCCGAUACUGACGCUGGGGCGCGAAAGCUAGGGGAGCAAACGGG
rnacentral:rRNA from 1 species